rnacentral:rRNA from 1 species
GAGUUUGAUCUUGGCUCAGAGCGAACGCUGGCGGCAGGCUUAACACAUGCAAGUCGAGCGGGCGUAGCAAUACGUCAGCGGCAGACGGGUGAGUAACACGUGGGAACGUACCUUUUGGUUCGGAACAACUGAGGGAAACUUCAGCUAAUACCGGAUAAGCCCUAACGGGGAAAGAUUUAUCGCCGAAAGAUCGGCCCGCGUCUGAUUAGCUAGUUGGUGAGGUAAUGGCUCACCAAGGCGACGAUCAGUAGCUGGUCUGAGAGGAUGAUCAGCCACACUGGGACUGAGACACGGCCCAGACUCCUACGGGAGGCAGCAGUGGGGAAUAUUGGACAAUGGGGGCAACCCUGAUCCAGCCAUGCCGCGUGAGUGAUGAAGGCCCUAGGGUUGUAAAGCUCUUUGUGCGGGAAGAUAAUGACGGUACCGCAAGAAUAAGCCCCGACUAACUUCGUGCCAGCCGCCGCAGUAAC